UACAGAGGGUGCAAGCGUUAAUCGGAAUUACUGGGCGUAAAGCGCAUGUAGGUGGUUUGAUAAGUUUGAUGUGAAAGCCCCGGGCUUAACCUGGGAAUGGCAUUGAAUACUGUGAGACUUGAGUCGGAUAGAGGGCAGUGGAAUUUCCGGUGUAGCGGUGAAAUGCGUAGAGAUCGGAAAGAACAUCAGUGGCGAAGGCGUCUGCCUGGAUCCAGACUGACACUUAAGUGCGAAAGCGUGGGGAGCAAACAGG
rnacentral:rRNA from 1 species